AUUUAAUUAGUCUAUUGAGGACGUUAGUUUGUGGGGCUAGAGGAAUACUGGGAGUAUAUUAAAUC
rnacentral:tRNA from 1 species